UUUAACGGCCGCGGUAUUUUGACCGUGCAAAGGUAGCGCAAUCACUUGUCUUUUAAAUGAAGACCUGUAUGAAUGGCAUAACGAGGGCUUAACUGUCUCCUUUCUCCAGUCAAUGAAAUUGAUCUCCCCGUGCAGAAGCGGGGAUNCCCCCAUAAGACGAGAAGACCCUAUGGAGCUUUAGACACAAAANAGACCACGUNAAUCACCCUCCUAUAAAAGAUAAAACUAAUUGGACC
rnacentral:rRNA from 1 species